UGGGGAAUAUUGCACAAUGGGCGCAAGCCUGAUGCAGCCAUGCCGCGUGUGUGAAGAAGGCCUUCGGGUUGUAAAGCACUUUCAGCGAGGAGGAAGGUGGUGAACUUAAUACGUUCAUCAAUUGACGUUACUCGCAGAAGAAGCACCGGCUAACUCCGUGCCAGCAGCCGCGGUAAUACGGAGGGUGCAAGCGUUAAUCGGAAUUACUGGGCGUAAAGCGCACGCAGGCGGUUUGUUAAGUCAGAUGUGAAAUCCCCGGGCUCAACCUGAGAACUGCAUUUGAAACUGGCAAGCUAGAGUCUCGUAGAGGGGGGUAGAAUUCCAGGUGUAGCGGUGAAAUGCGUAGAGAUCUGGAGGAAUACCGGUGGCGAAGGCGGCCCCCCUGGANGAAGACUGACGCUCAGGUGCGAAAGCGUGGGGCAGCAAACAGGAUUAGAUACCCUGGUAGUCCACGCUGUAAAACGAUGUCGAUUUUGGAGGUUGUGCCCCUUGAGGCGUGG
rnacentral:rRNA from 1 species